UUAAAUUGUAUGAAGUGAUCUUUAAUUAUUGGUGUGAAUCAUUUUCUUAUUCUUCAUAAUUAUGGGCAUUUGCUUAAAAGAAUAAGGCAAUAAAUAAUUCUUGUAAAAUUAUACUUUGCAUCAUGCUGGAACUUUUGAUUGUACAUCUAGUUUAAAUUUUGAAAUACGAACUCAUAUUUGAAUUUGAAGUGAAAUAGAAACAUAAACUGAAAAUAGAAAUAGAAAAAAAGAUAAAAGAAAGGAACAUACCCCUAUUUGGGCCGAAACCUCAUUAUUGGCCGAGAUUCUCACCUGUACAGCCAGCCUAACCUGCCCUCACGCGCGUGCCGACAGGUGGGGUCGCGUGAGCAGUCACCAUCACACCUGCACGUUGAAUCGUGUAUCUGCCUCGCGUGUAGUCACACAAACGCUGCAGCCAAUGACGUGUGGGUCCCUCCUGCCGGCUCUCCCUUCCGCGUUCGCUAUCACAAAACAACCGAAGUUGUUGCCGUAGUGUGCACCAACGAACUCCCCGAUCUUCUUGAACCCAUACGGACUCCACGUAGGCUAUAAAACCCGAGUUCCGCACACCCUUGAGCCAUCACUAUAGAAGCCGAGAGCCACAACGCGAGACCGAGCGGAGCCAAGGAAGGAGGGAGAGCCCGCCGCCAUAUGCAAUUCACGUGUGCAUCAACGACGAGCCCCGGAGACUAGCCAGAGAGCAUCGCCGAAGAUCAUAGAAAUCCUAUGUGGAUCACCUGAACAUAAGAGGCUGGGGUUUGGCGAUAAGUGGGGCUACCCUCCGCCACGGAGCCACCGUGUGUCGAGGGCCCACGCCUUUGUUGCCGAUCAGGGUACGAGCUCGGCCUGGGCACUUCGAGAUGUCGCCAGGAUGAUGAACGUGGCCACACAGGGGAAGUUUCGUGGCCGGUGCUCCAGCAAUUUCUCGCCGGUGUUCCAUGCGCGUGGCCACGUUGCCUAGUGUCGAGGACAGCUCUACUCCGGUCAUUGCUGUCAGUAAGGUAUCCCAAGUUCGCUAAGUCCUUGGCAUUAUUUUGUCGCUAGACGUGCUUGGUUUAGGCCACGGGAGCCACAGUUCGCGCGUCCGCCGGUGACUGCGCCGCCAUAGGCAUGGGAGCCACUGUACUCAGGUGAGGGAGGUGGGUGAAUGACUUUGGGCUGUUGGAUCACAUAUGAAGGGAGAUGAUUAGAACCUGAAAUACCCUUUCGCAUCAUAAAAUCUAAGCCAUCGAUCCGAAAUCGGAGCGCUGUGAGUCAAUUGAAGCGUGGAAGAGAGUGGGCCAUGGAUUUGAGAUCCGGCGGCAUCUAAAGCGUACCGGUUCAGGGAGGAGAGCAAUCUAAUCUAGGCUGCUAGAUGUAGAUCAUACGACCAGAACAUGUCCAUACCUCUUCGACUGUGUGAAUUUGCAUACAAGUCCCUGUGUUUUAAGGAAAACAACCUGUCAUCCAUCUUCACAUAGAAAUCAUCACAGAUAGGUCCUGAUAUUUAUGUUUCUCAGCCUAAGUUUUAAGAAAUUGCUGCCCAUCGUCUAGAGGUUCCAUAAUUAAUAUAAAAUGAACCCAAAAUGACUUUUAGAGUAAAAAUAAUUCAUAUAACUUAGAAAACCAUAU
rnacentral:lncRNA from 7 species